GCGUGUCUAACACAUGCAAGUCGAGCGGGUAACAGGUCUAGUCUACUAGAUGCUGACGAGUGGCGGACGGGUGAGUAACAUGUGGGAACGUGCCCCAAAGUGGAGGGAUAACGCAUCGGAAGCGGUGUAAUACCGCAUACGGUCUAAGGAUGAAAGCAUUUGUCCUCGCUUUGGGAGCCGCCCGACGUUAGAUUAGGUAGUUGGUAGGGUAAUGGCCUACCAAGGCUACGAUCUGUAGCUGGUCUGAGAGGACGAUCAGUCAGACUGGAACUGAGACACGGUUCCAGACCUACGGGAGGCAGCAGUGAGGAAUCUUCCACAAUGGGCGAAAGCCUGAUCCAGCAAUGCCGCGUGAAGGAUGAAGGCCCUAGGGUUGUAAACUUCUUUUAUAAGUGAAGAAUAUGACGGUAACUGAUGAAUAAGCACCGGCUAACUACGUG
rnacentral:rRNA from 1 species